rnacentral:rRNA from 1 species
ACAUGCCUACAACAUAGCGUUAAUGCCCGAAUCCCAUUAGAACUUUGCAGAUAAGCGCGCUCAGGAUAUACUAGUACUGGGAUGGGUGACCACCUAAGAAGUCCUACUAUUUUACAUGUC